GACGAACCGUGCGAACGUUGUUCGGAAUCACUGGGCUUAAAGGGCGCGUAGGCGGCUCGCCAAGUCGGGGGUGAAAUACUUCAGCUUAACUGUGAGCGUGCUUCCGAUACGGGCAGACUUGAGGUAUUCAGGAGAGAACGGAAUUCCGGGUGGAGUGGUGAAAUGCGUAGAGAUCCGGAGGAACACCGAAGGCGAAGGCAGUGUCCUGGCGAGUGACUGACGCUGAGGUGCGAAAGCUAGGGGAGCGAACGGG
rnacentral:rRNA from 1 species